CCCUUUAUAAAGGUGGGUUUCUGAGCUCCAUACCUGACAAAAUUCCAUUAGGCAGUUAAAGAAGGACAUCCCGUGUGCUUUGCACUGCCAAACACCCCACCAGAAGUCCUUGAAAGAUUGUGAUCCUUCAGCCCAGAAAAUCUGUUUCAUCGACGAGGGACAUCUUGCAUGAGGCUUGGACUGCGUGCAUCCUUCACCAUGAAGCCUCUCCUGGGACUCCUCUUCUGCUCUCUGCUUCUCACUACAGGUACCUCCUUGCAGUGUGAAGUUUGCAGUGCCAUUGGGAAAACAUGUUCCAGUGAUAAAGUAGAUUGCCCUGCUGGAGAAGAUACCUGUGCCACUUAUUUGUAUGCACCUUCACCACCAAACAUCAACAUCACAACAUUCAGGAAAUUAUGCCUUACGGAGGCAGGAUGCAGAAAUGCAACCGAAGACAUAGGGAAGGUUUUUGAAAAUGUGGGACUUCUUAUAAAGGUUGAAUGUAACAAGGCCUCUGAGGCAGCUCCAUUCGUCUUCCUGACACUCUCUUGGCUCCUGUUGAUGAAGAUCCUCCUUUAAUGAACCACAUGCAGUGAAUUGGCACUGAAGAAGAGUUUCAUUCUUAUAUCCAUGCAACCUUCCCUGGACCUGACCAUGUGUCUGUCCAGAGGAAAUUGUUGUUUUAUAUUUCUUCAGUAAAAACAAAUAAAAAGAAAUCUGGAGGUGAAAAAGCAUGCAUUUCCAUGAAUGGAAUUGGCUUUUUUUGUUGCUAUUAUUCUACUCGCCCUUCAUGCUAUGAUGUAAAAAAUACAGGUAAAAAUGUUUGUGUAAAUUCAAGAUUUGACCGAUUUUCAUGAAACCCUGCUGUUCUUUGAGGAAAAUCAGACAAUAAAAC